rnacentral:misc_RNA from 1 species
CAGAGUUGCAAAACUCCCACAAACCAUCGCGAAUCUUACCCGUACGGUUGCCUCGGCGCUGGCGGUCCGGAAGGCCCUCGGGCCCCCCGGAUCCCCGGGUCUCCCGCUCGCGGGAGGCUGCCCGCCGGAGUGCCGAAACCAAACUCUUGAUAUUUUAUGUCUCUCUGAGUAAACUUUUAAAUAAGUCA